rnacentral:rRNA from 1 species
CGGCAUGCCUAACACAUGCAAGUCGAACGAGACCUUCGGGUCUAGUGGCGCACGGGUGCGUAACGCGUGGGAACCUGCCUUUAGGUUCGGAAUAACUCAGAGAAAUUUGAGCUAAUACCGGAUAAUGUCUUCGGACCAAAGAUUUAUCGCCUUUAGAUGGGCCCGCGUUGGAUUAGCUAGUUGGUGAGGUAAAGGCUCACCAAGGCGACGAUCCAUAGCUGGUCUGAGAGGAUGAUCAGCCACACUGGGACUGAGACACGGCCCAGACUCCUACGGGAGGCAGCAGUGGGGAAUAUUGGACAAUGGGCGAAAGCCUGAUCCAGCAAUGCCGCGUGAGUGAUGAAGGCCUUAGGGUUGUAAAGCUCUUUUACUCGGGACGAUAAUGACGGUACCGAGAGAAUAAGCCCCGGCUAACUCCGUG